rnacentral:rRNA from 1 species
UGCAUAUCAAUAAGCGGAGGAAAAGAAACCAACAGGGAUUGCCUUAGUAACGGCGAGUGAAGCGGCAAAAGCUCAAAUUUGAAAUCUGGCACCUUCGGUGUCCGAGUUGUAAUUUGAAGAAGGUAACUUUGGAGUUGGCUCUUGUCUAUGUUCCUUGGAACAGGACGUCACAGAGGGUGAGAAUCCCGUGCGAUGAGAUGCCCAAUUCUAUGUAAAGUGCUUUCGAAGAGUCGAGUUGUUUGGGAAUGCAGCUCUAAGUGGGUGGUAAAUUCCAUCUAAAGCUAAAUAUUGGCGAGAGACCGAUAGCGAACAAGUACAGUGAUGGAAAGAUGAAAAGAACUUUGAAAAGAGAGUGAAAAAGUACGUGAAAUUGUUGAAAGGGAAGGGCUUGAGAUCAGACUUGGUAUUUUGCGAUCCUUUCCUUCUUGGUUGGGUUCCUCGCAGCUUACUGGGCCAGCAUCGGUUUGGAUGGUAGGAUAAUGACUAAGGAAUGUGGCUCUACUUCGGUGGAGUGUUAUAGCCUUGGUUGAUACUGCCUGUCUAGACCGAGGACUGCGUCUUUUGACUAGGAUGUUGGCAUAAUGAUCUUAAGCCACCCGUCUUGAAACACGGACCA